GGGGCUGACUUGGAUUUCGACAGAUUUCUUGUCGCACAGAUAGCAUGCCAAGCGCUGCUUGUAAAACAGCAACAAAAAUAACUGUAAACAACGCAGAUUACGCUCCAGCUUACGCUAAAGCUGCGUGAGUUAAUCUCCUUUUGGAGCUGGACUGAUUGAAAUUUCUAGCGUUUUAAUCACUCCAUAACCUUAAGCUAGACGCUUUUAAAAGGUGGUUCGCCUUUUAAACUAAGAACAAGAACUCUUGAAACUAUCUCAAGGUUUUAGAAAGUUGGACCAGAGCUAGUUUUAAGGCUAAAAAACUAACCAAUUUUCUAAGCAUUGUAGAAGUUUGUGUUUAGGACAAGAUUUUUGGACUGGGGUUCGAUUCCCCACAGCUCCACCA
rnacentral:tmRNA from 1 species